rnacentral:rRNA from 1 species
UACGGAGGGGACUAGCGUUGUUCGGAAUUACUGGGCGUAAAGAGUACGUAGGCGGCUUAUCAAGUUGGGUGUGAAAGCCCGGGGCUCAACCCCGGAACUGCACUCAAAACUGGUAAGCUAGAGAUCGGAAGAGGUAAGUGGAAUUCCCAGUGUAGAGGUGAAAUUCGUAGAUAUUGGGAAGAACACCAGUGGCGAAGGCGGCUUACUGGUCCGAGACUGACGCUGAGGUACGAAAGCGUGGGGAGCAAACAGG